rnacentral:rRNA from 1 species
GUUAACCUCNGAUCAGUAGGGGAUACCCCCUGAACUUAAGCAUAUCAAUAAGCG